CGCCAUGGCGGGGUGCUACCAUGCAAGUCGAACGCUGAAGCUUGGUGCUUGCACUGGGUGGAUGAGUGGCGAACGGGUGAGUAAUACGUGAGUAACCUGCCCUUGACUCUGGGAUAAGCCUGGGAAACUGGGUCUAAUACUGGAUAUGACAUGCCACUGCAUGGUGGUGUGUGGAAAGGGUUUUACUGGUUUUGGAUGGGCUCACGGCCUAUCAGCUUGUUGGUGGGGUAAUGGCCUACCAAGGCGACGACGGGUAGCCGGCCUGAGAGGGUGACCGGCCACACUGGGACUGAGACACGGCCCAGACUCCUACGGGAGGCAGCAGUGGGGAAUAUUGCACAAUGGGCGGAAGCCUGAUGCAGCGACGCCGCGUGAGGGAUGACGGCCUUCGGGUUGUAAACCUCUUUCAGCACGGAAGAAGCGAGAGUGACGGUACGUGCAGAAGAAGCGCCGGCUAACUACGUGCCAGCAGCCGCGGUAAUACGUAGGGCGCAAGCGUUGUCCGGAAUUAUUGGGCGUAAAGAGCUCGUAGGCGGUUUGUCGCGUCUGCUGUGAAAGCCCGGGGCUUAACCCCGGGUGUGCAGUGGGUACGGGCAGACUUGAGUGCAGUAGGGGAGACUGGAAUUCCUGGUGUAGCGGUGAAAUGCGCAGAUAUCAGGAGGAACACCGAUGGCGAAGGCAGGUCUCUGGGCUGUUACUGACGCUGAGGAGCGAAAGCAUGGGGAGCGAACAGGAUUAGAUACCCUGGUAGUCCAUGCCGUAAACGUUGGGCACUAGGUGUGGGGGACAUUCCACGUUUUCCGCGCCGUAGCUAACGCAUUAAGUGCCCCGCCUGGGGAGUACGG
rnacentral:rRNA from 1 species